GGGUUGUGAGGUUAAGCGACUAAGCGUACACGGUGGAUGCCCUGGCAGUCAGAGGCGAUGAAGGACGUGCUAAUCUGCGAUAAGCGUCGGUAAGGUGAUAUGAACCGUUAUAACCGGCGAUUUCCGAAUGGGGAAACCCAGUGUGUUUCGACACACUAUCAUUACGUGAAUACAUAGCGUAAUGAAGCGAACCGGGGGAACUGAAACAUCUAAGUACCCCGAGGAAAAGAAAUCAACCGAGAUUCCCCCAGUAGCGGCGAGCGAACGGGGAGCAGCCCAGAGUCUGAAUCAGCUUGUGUGUUAGUGGAACGGUCUGGAAAGUCCGACGGUACAGGGUGAUAGUCCCGUACACCAAAAUGCACAGGUUGUGAACUCGAAGAGUAGGGCGGGACACGUGGUAUCCUGUCUGAAUAUGGGGGGACCAUCCUCCAAGGCUAAAUACUCCUGACUGACCGAUAGUGAACCAGUACCGUGAGGGAAAGGCGAAAAGAACCCCGGCGAGGGGAGUGAAAAAGAACCUGAAACCGUGUACGUACAAGCAGUGGGAGCCUCUUUAUGGGGUGACUGCGUACCUUUUGUAUAAUGGGUCAGCGACUUAUAUUCUGUAGCAAGGUUAACCGUAUAGGGGAGCCGAAGGGAAACCGAGUCUUAACUGGGCGUUAAGUUGCAGGGUAUAGACCCGAAACCCGGUGAUCUAGCCAUGGGCAGGUUGAAGGUUGGGUAACACUAACUGGAGGACCGAACCGACUAAUGUUGAAAAAUUAGCGGAUGACUUGUGGCUGGGGGUGAAAGGCCAAUCAAACCGGGAGAUAGCUGGUUCUCCCCGAAAGCUAUUUAGGUAGCGCCUCGUGAACUCAUCUUCGGGGUAGAGCACUGUUUCGGCUAGGGGGUCAUCCCGACUUACCAACCCGAUGCAAACUGCGAAUACCGAAGAAUGUUAUCACGGGAGACACACGGCGGGUGCUAACGUCCGUCGUGAAGAGGGAAACAACCCAGACCGCCAGCUAAGGUCCCAAAGUCAUGGUUAAGUGGGAAACGAUGUGGGAAGGCACAGACAGCCAGGAUGUUGGCUUAGAAGCAGCCAUCAUUUAAAGAAAGCGUAAUAGCUCACUGGUCGAGUCGGCCUGCGCGGAAGAUGUAACGGGGCUAAACCAUGCACCGAAGCUGCGGCAGCGACACUAUGUGUUGUUGGGUAGGGGAGCGUUCUGUAAGCCGUUGAAGGUGUAUCGUGAGGUAUGCUGGAGGUAUCAGAAGUGCGAAUGCUGACAUAAGUAACGAUAAUGCGGGUGAAAAACCCGCACGCCGGAAGACCAAGGGUUCCUGUCCAACGUUAAUCGGGGCAGGGUGAGUCGACCCCUAAGGCGAGGCCGAAAGGCGUAGUCGAUGGGAAACAGGUUAAUAUUCCUGUACUUGGUGUUACUGCGAAGGGGGGACGGAGAAGGCUAUGUUAGCCGGGCGACGGUUGUCCCGGUUUAAGCAUGUAGGCGGAGGUUCCAGGUAAAUCCGGUACCUUUUUAACGCUGAGGUGUGAUGACGAGGCACUACGGUGCUGAAGUAACAAAUGCCCUGCUUCCAGGAAAAGCCUCUAAGCAUCAGGUAACACGAAAUCGUACCCCAAACCGACACAGGUGGUCAGGUAGAGAAUACCAAGGCGCUUGAGAGAACUCGGGUGAAGGAACUAGGCAAAAUGGUGCCGUAACUUCGGGAGAAGGCACGCUGAUAUGUAGGUGAAGCGGUUUACCCGUGGAGCUGAAAUCAGUCGAAGAUACCAGCUGGCUGCAACUGUUUAUUAAAAACACAGCACUGUGCAAACACGAAAGUGGACGUAUACGGUGUGACGCCUGCCCGGUGCCGGAAGGUUAAUUGAUGGGGUUAUCCGUAAGGAGAAGCUCUUGAUCGAAGCCCCGGUAAACGGCGGCCGUAACUAUAACGGUCCUAAGGUAGCGAAAUUCCUUGUCGGGUAAGUUCCGACCUGCACGAAUGGCGUAAUGAUGGCCAGGCUGUCUCCACCCGAGACUCAGUGAAAUUGAACUCGCUGUGAAGAUGCAGUGUACCCGCGGCAAGACGGAAAGACCCCGUGAACCUUUACUAUAGCUUGACACUGAACACUGGUCCUUGAUGUGUAGGAUAGGUGGGAGGCUUUGAAGUGUGGACGCCAGUCUGCAUGGAGCCAUCCUUGAAAUACCACCCUUUAAUGGCUGGUGUUCUAACGUGGACCCGUUACCCGGGUUGCGGACAGUGUCUGGUGGGUAGUUUGACUGGGGCGGUCUCCUCCUAAAGAGUAACGGAGGAGCACGAAGGUUAGCUAAUCCUGGUCGGACAUCAGGAGGUUAGUGCAAAGGCAUAAGCUAGCUUGACUGCGAGAGUGACGGCUCGAGCAGGUGCGAAAGCAGGUCUUAGUGAUCCGGUGGUUCUGAAUGGAAGGGCCAUCGCUCAACGGAUAAAAGGUACUCCGGGGAUAACAGGCUGAUACCGCCCAAGAGUUCAUAUCGACGGCGGUGUUUGGCACCUCGAUGUCGGCUCAUCACAUCCUGGGGCUGAAGUAGGUCCCAAGGGUAUGGCUGUUCGCCAUUUAAAGUGGUACGCGAGCUGGGUUUAGAACGUCGUGAGACAGUUCGGUCCCUAUCUGCCGUGGGCGCUGGAGAAUUGAGGGGGGCUGCUCCUAGUACGAGAGGACCGGAGUGGACGCAUCACUGGUGUUCGGGUUGUCAUGCCAAUGGCAUUGCCCGGUAGCUAAAUGCGGAAGAGAUAAGUGCUGAAAGCAUCUAAGCACGAAACUUGCCCCGAGAUGAGUUCUCCCUGAGACUUAAAGUCUCCUGAAGGAACGUUAAAGACGAUGACGUUGAUAGGUCGGGUGUGUAAGUGUAGCGAUACAUUGAGCUAACCGAUACUAAUGAACCGUGAGGCUUAACCUUACAACGCCGAAG
rnacentral:rRNA from 1 species